GUCGAGGGGCAGCAUGGUCUUAGCUUGCUAAGGCUGAUGGCGACCGGCGCACGGGUGAGUAACACGUAUCCAACCUGCCGUCUACUCUUGGCCAGCCUUCUGAAAGGAAGAUUAAUCCAGGAUGGGAUCAUGAGUUCACAUGUCCGCAUGAUUAAAGGUAUUUUCCGGUAGACGAUGGGGAUGCGUUCCAUUAGAUAGUAGGCGGGGUAACGGCCCACCUAGUCAACGAUGGAUAGGGGUUCUGAGAGGAAGGUCCCCCACAUUGGAACUGAGACACGGUCCAAACUCCUACGGGAGGCAGCAGUGAGGAAUAUUGGUCAAUGGGCGAUGGCCUGAACCAGCCAAGUAGCGUGAAGGAUGACUGCCCUAUGGGUUGUAAACUUCUUUUAUAAAGGAAUAAAGUCGGGUAUGCAUACCCGUUUGCAUGUACUUUAUGAAUAAGGAUCGGCUAACUCCGUGCCAGCAGCCGCGGUAAUACGGAGGAUCCGAGCGUUAUCCGGAUUUAUUGGGUUUAAAGGGAGCGUAGAUGGAUGUUUAAGUCAGUUGUGAAAGUUUGCGGCUCAACCGUAAAAUUGCAGUUGAUACUGGAUGUCUUGAGUGCAGUUGAGGCAGGCGGAAUUCGUGGUGUAGCGGUGAAAUGCUUAGAUAUCACGAAGAACUCCGAUUGCGAAGGCAGCCUGCUAAGCUGCAACUGACAUUGAGGCUCGAAAGUGUGGGUAUCAUACAGG
rnacentral:rRNA from 1 species